UACGGAGGGAGCUAGCGUUGUUCGGAAUUACUGGGCGUAAAGCGCGCGUAGGCGGCUUUGUAAGUUAGAGGUGAAAGCCCGGGGCUCAACCCCGGAACUGCCUUUAAGACUGCAUCGCUUGAAUCCGGGAGAGGUGGAGUGGAAUUCCGAGUGUAGAGGUGAAAUUCGUAGAUAUUCGGAAGAACACCAGUGGCGAAGGCGGCUCACUGGACCGGCAUUGACGCUGAGGUGCGAAAGCGUGGGGAGCA
rnacentral:rRNA from 1 species